GGCCCUGUAAGUAAGCAUCUAUAACCCUUUGUGACAUACCUACAACUGUUGCUUCGGCGGGUAGGCCGUCCCCUGAAAAGGACGCCUCCCGGCCCGGACCGGACCCCCCGCGGGACCGGACCCGGCGCCCGCCGGAGGAUAACCAAACUCUAUUGUAACGACGUUUCUUCUGAGUGGCAUAAGCAAAAUAAUCAAAACUUUUAACAACGGAUCUCUUGGUUCUGGCAUCGAUGAAGAACGCAGCGAAAUGCGAUAAGUAAUGUGAAUUGCAGAAUUCAGUGAAUCAUCGAAUCUUUGAACGCACAUUGCGCCCGCCAGCAUUCUGGCGGGCAUGCCUGUUCGAGCGUCAUUUCAACCCUCAAGCUCUGCUUGGUGUUGGGGCUCUACGGUCGACGUAGGCCCUCAAAGGUAGUGGCGGACCCUCCCGGAGCCUCCUUUGCGUAGUAACAUUUCGUCUCGCACUGGGAUCCGGAGGGACUCUUGCCGUAAAACCCCCCAAUUUUCCAAAGGUUGACCUCGGAUCAGGUAGGAAUACCCGCUGAACUUAAGCAUAUCAAAA
rnacentral:rRNA from 1 species